GGGUUGUGAGGUUAAGCGACUAAGCGUACACGGUGGAUGCCCUGGCAGUCAGAGGCGAUGAAGGACGUGCUAAUCUGCGAUAAGCGCCGGUAAGGUGAUAUGAACCGUUAUAACCGGCGAUUUCCGAAUGGGGAAACCCAGUGUGACUCGUCACACUAUCAUUAACUGAAUCCAUAGGUUAAUGAGGCGAACCGGGGGAACUGAAACAUCUAAGUACCCCGAGGAAAAGAAAUCAACCGAGAUUCCCCCAGUAGCGGCGAGCGAACGGGGAGGAGCCCAGAGCCUGAAUCAGCAUGUGUGUUAGUGGAAGCGUCUGGAAAGGCGCGCGAUACAGGGUGACAGCCCCGUACACAAAAGCGCAUGUGCUGUGAGCUCGAUGAGUAGGGCGGGACACGUGGUAUCCUGUCUGAAUAUGGGGGGACCAUCCUCCAAGGCUAAAUACUCCUGACUGACCGAUAGUGAACCAGUACCGUGAGGGAAAGGCGAAAAGAACCCCGGCGAGGGGAGUGAAAAAGAACCUGAAACCGUGUACGUACAAGCAGUGGGAGCACAGGUUUACCUGUGUGACUGCGUACCUUUUGUAUAAUGGGUCAGCGACUUAUAUUCUGUAGCAAGGUUAACCGAAUAGGGGAGCCGGAGGGAAACC
rnacentral:rRNA from 1 species